rnacentral:rRNA from 1 species
CCACUCUUGUAAUGUUAGAUUUCUAACUUUGUACCAUUAGCUGGUCAAAGAACAGUUUCAGGCGGGCAGUUUGACUGGGGCGGUCGCCUCCUAAACAGUAACGGAGGCGUACAAAGGUUUCCUCAGAUCGGUCAGAAAUCGAUCGUAGAGUGUAAAGGCAGAAGGAAGCUUGACUGUGAGACCUACAAGUCGAGCAGGGACGAAAGUCGGUCUUAGUGAUCUGACGGUACUGAGUGGGAAGGCCGUCACUCAACGGAUAAAAGUUACUCUAGGGAUAAC